UACGUAGGGGGGCAAGCGUUGUCCGGAUUUAUUGGGCGUAAAGAGCGUGUAGGCGGCCAUACAGGUCAGCUGUGAAAACUCGAGGCUCAACCUCGAGACGUCGGUUGAAACCGUAUGGCUAGAGUCCCGGAAGAGGAGAGUGGAAUUCCCGGUGUAGCGGUGAAAUGCGCAGAUAUCGGGAAGAACACCCGUGGCGAAGGCGGCUCUCUGGGGACGGUACUGACGCUGAGACGCGAAAGCGUGGGGAGCGAACAGG
rnacentral:rRNA from 1 species